rnacentral:ncRNA from 1 species
CUACGGACUUAGAUAACUGAGCCUUGAAGGAGAAAUCCCUCAAGUGGAAGCUCUCAAACUCAGGGAAACCUAAAUCUGGUAACAGACAUGGCAAUCCUGAGCCAAGCCGAAAAAGUCCUGAGUGCCGAGUGUUGAGUGAAAAGUAAACUAAAAACUCCUAACUCCUAACUCAUAACUCAUAACUAUUCGGAAGGUGCAGAGACCCGACGGGAGCUACCCUAACGUAAAGUCGAGGGUAAAGGGAGAGUCCAAUUCUUAAAACUUGAAGUG